AAUCAACGCUGGCGGCGUGCCUAACACAUGCAAGUCGAACGCGAAAGUCCCGCAAGGGAUUAGUAGAGUGGCAGACGGGUGAGUAACGCGUGGGUGACCUGCCUUCGAGUGGGGGAUAACGUUUCGAAAGGAACGCUAAUACCGCACGAUAUGCUGCCUUUCAAGAGGCGGACAUCAAAGCUGGGGAUCGCAAGACCUAGCGCUCGAAGAGGGGCCCGCGUCCGAUUAGCUAGUUGGUGGGGUAAUGGCUCACCAAGGCAACGAUCGGUAGCCGGCCUGAGAGGGCGGACGGCCACACUGGGACUGAGACACGGCCCAGACUCCUACGGGAGGCAGCAGUGGGGAAUUGUUCGCAAUGGGCGCAAGCCUGACGACGCAACGCCGCGUGGAGGAUGAAGACCUUCGGGUCGUAAACUCCUUUCGAUUGGGACGAAUGGCUUCCGGGUGAAUAAUCCGGAAGCGUGACGGUACCGAGAGAAGAAGCCCCGGCUAACUCCGUGCCAGCAGCCGCGGUAAUACGGGGGGGGCAAGCGUUGUUCGGAAUUACUGGGCGUAAAGGGCUCGUAAGCGGGCAACUAAGUCAGACGUGAAAUCCCUCGGCUUAACCGGGGAACUG
rnacentral:rRNA from 1 species